rnacentral:rRNA from 1 species
UACGUAGGGUGCGAGCGUUGUCCGGAAUUAUUGGGCGUAAAGAGCUCGUAGGCGGUUUGUCGCGUCUGCUGUGAAAACCCGAGGCUCAACCUCGGGCCUGCAGUGGGUACGGGCAGACUAGAGUGCGGUAGGGGAGAUUGGAAUUCCUGGUGUAGCGGUGGAAUGCGCAGAUAUCAGGAGGAACACCGGUGGCGAAGGCGGGUCUCUGGGCCGAUACUGACGCUGAGGCGCGAAAGCGUGGGGAGCGAUCCGG